rnacentral:rRNA from 1 species
GACGAACGCUGGCGGCAGGCUUAACACAUGCAAGUCGAGCGCCUCGCAAGAGGAGCGGCAGACGGGUGAGUAACGCGUGGGAACGUACCCUUAUCUUCGGAAUAGCUCUGGGAAACUGGAAGUAAUACCGAAUGUGCCCUUAGGGGGAAAGAUUUAUCGGAUAAGGAUCGGCCCGCGUUGGAUUAGCUAGUUGGUGGGGUAAAGGCCUACCAAGGCGACGAUCCAUAGCUGGUCUGAGAGGAUGAUCAGCCACAUUGGGACUGAGACACGGCCCAAACUCCUACGGGAGGCAGCAGUGGGGAAUAUUGGACAAUGGGCGCAAGCCUGAUCCAGCCAUGCCGCGUGAGUGAUGAAGGCCUUAGGGUUGUAAAGCUCUUUCACCGGAGAAGAUAAUGACGGUAUCCGGAGAAGAAGCCCCGGCUAACUUCGUG